UACAGAGGUCUCAAGCGUUGUCCGGAUUCAUUGGGCGUAAAGGGUGCGUAGGUGGCGAGGCAAGUCGGAUGUGAAAUCCCGGGGCUUAACCCCGGAACUGCAUUCGAUACUGCCUUGCUCGAGUACUGGAGAGGAGACUGGAAUUUACGGUGUAGCAGUGAAAUGCGUAGAUAUCGUAAGGAAGACCAGUGGCGAAGGCGAGUCUCUGGACAGUUACUGACACUGAGGCACGAAGGCCAGGGGAGCAAACGGG
rnacentral:rRNA from 1 species